UACGGGGGGGGGCAAGCGUUGUUCGGAAUUACUGGGCGUAAAGGGCGCGUAGGCGGUUCGGUAAGUCCUGUGUGAAAUCCCUCGGCUCAACUGAGGAACUGCACGGGAGACUGCCGGGCUUGAGUUCGGGAGAGGGAAGCGGAAUUCCGGGUGUAGCGGUGAAAUGACGUAGAUAUCCGGAGGAACACCGGUGGCGAAGGCGGCUUCCUGGACCGACACUGACGCUGAGGCGCGAAAGCUAGGGGAGCAAACGGG
rnacentral:rRNA from 1 species